GACGAACGCUGGCGGCGUGCUUAACACAUGCAAGUCGAACGGAAAGGCCCUGCUUUUGUGGGGUGCUCGAGUGGCGAACGGGUGAGUAACACGCGAGUAACCUGCCCUUGACUUUGGGAUAACUUCAGGAAACUGGGGCUAAUACCGGAUAGGAGCUCCUGCUGCAUGGUGGGGGUUGGAAAGUUUCGGCGGUUGGGGAUGGACUCGCGGCUUAUCAGCUUGUUGGUGGGGUAGUGGCUUACCAAGGCUUUGACGGGUAGCCGGCCUGAGAGGGUGACCGGCCACAUCGGGACUGAGAUACGGCCCAGACUCCUACGGGAGGCAGCAGUGGGGAAUAUUGCACAAUGGGCGGAAGCCUGAUGCAGCAACGCCGCGUGCGGGAUGACGGCCUUCGGGUUGUAAACCGCUUUCGCCUGUGACGAAGCGUGAGUGACGGUAAUGGGUAAAGAAGCACCGGCUAACUACGUG
rnacentral:rRNA from 1 species